UCCCAAAAUAAUGAGCGAUUAUUUUUGUAUUUAUAAUGUGUGUGAUUACACAUUUUGUUUUAUGGGAGCUUAGCCCUUGUGUGUCCUCAAAUUGAAAAAACCACUCUUUCAGGUGCUCACUGUAUCAUGUGAGAGCUGUGCAGAUGCUGUUCUCUUGGGAAUAAAAGUUCAGUGUGAUUGGCACAGGGUGAAGCUUUUAAUUAAUUGGAAAUUAUCAUCAUACUGCUUGAUACUUUAGCAUUGUGAUUUGUUUAGAUCUACUCAUUUCACUUCCGUAACUCACUGUGAGGCUGAUGAACUGUCUUAUUAUGACUUGUUUCAUGAACAAAGGUCGAACUAGACUUACCUUCGAGAAGAGUGAGGGUGAUUUUUCUAAUUUUAUUGUAAACUGUAUUCAAGUGUAAUAAUUCAUAUCUAUGGAAUAGUUAUAUAAUUUACAUAAAUGAUUGAGUGAAGACCAUUUGGGGAUUAUGUAAGCUCAUCUCUUUUCUUGCCACGUAUAUGUGUAGUGCCACUCUUUAUUCUCUCGAAGACCAGAAAUGGCAGAGCUGCGUGAGCUGUUUCCAAGUCUCCUCUACAUUUCUCCCUCCCUGAGAAUAUGGUGUACCCUAUUAAGCAAGACACCUGCCUGAAAGAUAUGAAGUUCAGACCCUGAAUAUUUCACAUACUGUAUCCACAAAUUAAUGAGAUUGUAUAAUGAAAUAAAAAACCUUGAAAUUCACAAGAAAGCUUCA